AAGUUACUAACUCAGAUUAGUGACUUUUCUGUUAGAUGUGAGUGUAUUGAACCAGUCUACAAAAUAUUUCCUGAAACUUGUGUUUUAUAUCUUGAAGGAAUGUUAGAAAUGCAAUUUUUUAUUACUGUGCUUCAGUUGAAUUUGAUUGUGUGUGUUGACUGCCAUCAUUGUUAAUUAUCACCAUUUUUAUUAUUAAUAGUAAUAAGCCAUCAUAAGUUGGAAAAACUAGUGAGACAGAAAAUCUGUAUUGAGAGUUGAGUGACAUUGAAAUUAUCACACAUACAUUGAAAGGUUAAGGUUUGCAACUUUAUUAAUAAUUUUAAAAUCUAAUUAAAAAAAAAUUGCAAAUCCCACUUGAGGAUGUCAGAAAGGUCAAACAUGCCAGAUCCACCUUAUAAGACCUGGGUGCAGCCUUUACCUCCAGAUCAUCAUCCCUUACCUGGAUCAACCACUAGACCUGAACAUGGCACCUACAUUCCACAGGACCAGAGAAAUGUUCCUCCUCAUCCUUCAUAUGUGCAGCCACACCAAUGUCAUCUUUCGUCUGGCCCAAGAAGUGUAAAUCAUAUUGUUCCCAAUAAUCCUCCACCUGUUAUUACAUGUCAUUCCAAUACACCAGGCCAACAACUACCACCACCUCCUACUACUCCCCUUAGUCAAAUCAACACGGCUAAUAUUUAUCACACUCGUAUCCCCCCUCCAUCUACUUUUUCAACGCCUCCACCCAUUUUUUCAGCACCACCACCUUCAUUCUCAUCCACUCUGCCCUAUUUUUCCAGACCUCCACCCCCUUUAACAUAUGACUUAGGAAACAUUCCAUUGUCUCAUGAUAGUCCAGUUAUUCCUCAGAGUCACCAGUGUUCCAGUUCCUUGACAACUAAAAAUUCAUGUCCUCCAUGGCACAGCGGUCCUCCUCCUCAAGUUAGUAAUCUACAAUCUGUACAACAAACAUCCAAGGACUCAGCCAGUGGCAGCUUUAUCUCGGAUCCCCUUACCAAAAGCACUAACUGUGGAUUCAUUAGGGAUGAUAACUGUACUCCAGAAACAUGGGAAGAAGAUCAGAAAUGGUUAAGAGAAUUUCAGGAAAGAAUGAAGAGUCGCCAGACACCACCACCAGCCAACACCAUGUCUAGGGAGAGGACCAUAAAGUUGGUGGAUGUUGAGAAGAUGGUAACUGAAUCACAAAUGUUGGCCAGUAGUUUACGAGAGGUGGAGGAGAAGAUGAACCAAGUAAGGGAAACUGCACAAAUUGAUGUAUGGGAGGACCUGGCACAACAAGCGGAGAAGAUAAAGUUAAAGCUAAAACAAGUGAUCAUCGGUUUCCAAGAUGAUAAUUUUAUCUGCAGUGUUCAAAAGUUAAUUAAUCAGCGAAGAAUGAAACGUAAGCACGUGAAAAGAAGGAAGAAGGAAAUACAGCUUGAGAAGGAACAGAUUAAGAAGGCAAGACAAGAGGAGGAAGAGAAAAUAGAUGCCUGGAGGGAAAAAUUAGAAGUCGAGGCAGAAGAGAAGAGGAGGGAAAAAGCCAUCAAAGCAGAAGCUGAUAGUAUUUUGGGAGAAGUCCGUCAAAAACAGAAUGACACUCUGAGAAUGCAACAACUGUUGGAAGCUCUCAUUACUCUACGUCUGACACGUAUAAACAAGGGUGCUGCUCAUGGGGAUGUAUCCACACCACAGAGGGAUCAACGAUUUGCUUCCACUAUAAAGGGUAUUGGUGAUGUAGUGAGGAGCCAGAUGAAAGAAUAUGAACUGGAAGAACAAACUCUUUGUGUCAUGAUGGAGGAAAGUGCCUCACAUCAGUCUUGUGGUGCAGGUAAGAAGGUGAAACUAUUAAGACGUGAAGCAGUGGUUAAGAAACUCCUCUUUGGUGAUUAUCCUCCUCUUGACGAAACAACAACACAAUCUUUCACUUCUGCAGAUGACUGUUUAGAGACACUCAUAAAAAGAAGGUGCGAUUGGGAUCAGUUCAUCACUGAUGAUGACAACCCCCUUGCCUCUUCAGUUCCUCUACACUGGGUUAAUCCACCAAGUCAUCCCACAACUCACUGGGCACAGUUUCAGGUCCAGUAGGAACUAUGAUCUGCAAAACAAGUUUUAGAUUAUUUAAAGGCCAGGACGAAGACCACACCUUCAGUCCCCACUCUUCAGACUCCCUAGAGUCUGUGUGGGACUCAGAUUGAUGUCUCCACUCCACCUUGAGAGUUCCCUUAGCCUCGAAGGGGACACCUGACGAUGACCAGACUUGUUCAUAGUGAUGUGAUCCAAUUUGUGGUCCUCGGAUCACCCCACGACUGCCCCGGAGCCAGUAGCUUCCCAGCAGGGAGCAAUAUAUCGAUCAUGUCGUUGAUUCGACAUGAUUGAAACGGCAGGUCCAUUUUUGGCCGAGGGCCCCAGACCCGACUCGUAUCGGAGUGUAACCGACCACAACAGCAGUCAUCAGUUGUUAGAGGCGCCAGUGCUAUACCCUGAGACAUGCCUUGGAGUUGUGGUCCACAGUGUGGUUGUAUGUGUUUGUUAAUAAUUAUCCCAUGUUGGGUAGUGGACCUAUGUAUUUGUUGAUAUCAGCAUUAACGUGUUGUGUGUGUGUGCAUCUCCUAUGCACUACCAACACUCUGUGAAGUAUCUUAAGUAAGGUUGUCUUAUAACUGGAUGUAAUGAAAGUACCUCAUAAUGUGUGAGAAGUAAAGUUGUCCAAUUGGGACUAUGAAUAAAGCCUGGUAACUGUAAUGAAUGUACCACUAGAAGAUGUGGGUGAAAUAGAAGUACCCACUUGGAGUGGCAGUUAAGUAAAGCCAAGAGUUGUCAUGUAACUAUGUACUGUGAGUAGGGCCAAGGAACUGGUCCUGCUAUGUAAUGUAAUGUAACACCAAUAAGAGUAAUAUGAGUAACUUGCAGAGGAGGAAAAUUAAGAAAAUAAGUAAAUAAGAAAUACUGAGUUUGCAGUUGAAUAAGCUUAGAGUUGCACCUUGAAGUUAUAUGUUAAUGAUAUCUCUUUUUCCCUUUGAUUUCAUAUUAAUAAACCUGUUCUUAAGAGUA
rnacentral:misc_RNA from 1 species